rnacentral:rRNA from 1 species
CCUACGGGAGGCAGCAGUGGGGAAUAUUGCACAAUGGGGGAAACCCUGAUGCAGCGACGCCGCGUGAGUGAAGAAGUAUUUCGGUAUGUAAAGCUCUAUCAGCAGGGAAGAAGAAAGACGGUACCUGACUAAGAAGCCCCGGCUAACUACGUGCCAGCAGCCGCGGUAAUACGUAGGGGGCAAGCGUUAUCCGGAUUUACUGGGUGUAAAGGGAGCGUAGACGGCUGUGCAAGUCUGAAGUGAAAGCCCAGGGCUCAACCCUGGGACUGCUUUGGAAACUGUGGAGCUAGAGUGCUGGAGAGGUAAGUGGAAUUCCUAGUGUAGCGGUGAAAUGCGUAGAUAUUAGGAGGAACACCAGUGGCGAAGGCGGCUUACUGGACAGUAACUGACGUUGAGGCUCGAAAGCGUGGGGAGCAAACAGGAUUAGAUACCCCAGUAGUC